rnacentral:rRNA from 1 species
GGAUUCCCUCAGUAGCCUGGCGAGCGAACAGGGAAGAGCCCAGCACCGAACCUCGCUUCAGGAUCUCCGAUCUGGGGCCGAGGAAUGUGGUGUUUGGGAGGACCAUGACCGCCUGUCCGGCUUUCGUCCAAGUCUCCAUGAACGGGGCGAGCAACCCAUAGAGGGUGUCAGGCCCGUGGUAUUGGCGAGUCGCGACCGUGGUAGAGGUCUCUCCUUGGAGUCGGGUUGCUUGAGAGUGCAGCUCUAAGCGGGAGGUAAACUCCUUCUAAGGCUAAAUACGGCCACGAGACCGAUAGCGAACAAGUACCGCGAGGGAAAGUUGAAAAGAACUUUGAAGAGAGAGUUCAAGAGUGCGUGAAACCGUUUGGAGGGUAAAACGGGUGGGCGCUCGAAGAUCGAACGAUCCUUACUCCCGCCAUCUGCACGCCAGUCUCUUGUAGAUCCUAACGUGUGCCCACGUCUUCACGGAUGUGNGUUUGCCACGGGUCUUGCAGGAGUUCACUGGCGGCCGUGCAGGGGCCGCAAGUUUGGGAUCUAGUAGGACUCCGCAACCGUCUGGAUAGACGUCAAACGGAACCUUCUUGAGUAUUCCACGGCUUGUCGUUCCGUUUCGGCGGUUAACUUCAAGCGGGGAGUGUUCCUGACGUUCUAGUCCGGACGUUAUCACCUGGUCGGAGAUGUGGAAAACCUUUUCCACGUCCCAACAGCGGAGAGUAGAAUAGUCGGUUCCCACCCGACCCGUCUUGAAACACGGACCAAGGAGUCUAACAUGUGCGCGAGUCUUCGGGUCAAGUUAAACCUUGCGAAGGCGAAAUGAAAGUGAAUACUGGCCGAGGUAGAUGAAAUGCUCCUCGUUUUGCCGAGGGAGGAUCCCGUCCUCCAUCGUGAGGAUCGGGCGCACUCCCGGGGCGUCGUACGUCCGCGUUGACGGUCUGACGAACCAAGAGCGCACACGUUGGGACCCGAAAGAUGGUGACCUAUGCCUGGCCAGGACGAAGCCAGGGGAAACCCUGGUGGAGGUCCGCAGCGAUUCUGACGUGCAAAUCGAUCGUCGGAGUUGGGUAUAGGGGCGAAAGACUAAUCGAACCAUCUAGUAGCUGGUUCCCCCCGAAGUUUCCCUCAGGAUAGCUGGUGCUCGAAAUAACGGAGUUUCAUCCGGUAAAGCGAAUGAUUAGAGGCCUUGGGGUCGAAACGACCUCAACCUAUUCUCAAACUUUCAAUGGGUGAGAAGCUGGGCUUUCUUAACAAACGAAGCCUCGGCACGUUAACUGAAUCCGAGCGCCCAGUGGGCCAUUUUUGGUAAGCAGAACUGGCGCUGUGGGAUGAACCAAACGUCCGGUUAAGGCGCCUAAAAUUGUCGACGCACAUUUCGGAUCCCACGAAAAGGAGUUGGUUGCUAAAGACAGCAGGACGGUGGCCAUGGAGGUCGGAAUCCGCUCAGGAGUGUGUAACAACUCACCUGCCGAAGCAACUAGCCCUUAAAAUGGGAGGCGCUAUAGCGUCGUGCCUAUACCGGACCACCGGAGAUUACAAAAGGCAGAGCUAUCAUCUUUACGUUUUUUAACGUGAAGAUGCUGAUGCCCCGGUGAGUAGGGGGGUCGCGAUGGUGUGCCUAGAAGGGUCUGGGCGCGAGCCUGCCCGGAGCCACCAUCGGUGCAGAUCUUGGUGGUAGUAGCAAAUACUCCAGAGGGAUCCUGGAGGACUGACGCGGAGAAGGGUUUCAUGUGAACAGUGGUUGGACAUGAGUCAGUCGAUCCUAAGCCGCAGGAGAAAUCCGUCCCAGCGUUGAACGGCGUGUCUCUCUCAAAUCGAGGCGCCGCUGGGUUUAAGGCGAAAGGGAAUCCGGUUCUGAUUCCGGAACCGAGCGUCGGACACGUUCCAAGAUCCUGUGCAAGCAGGAUUUUGUCGCGGUAACGCGAACGAACCCGGAGAUGCUGUCGGGAACCCCGGGAAGAGUUUUCUUUUCUGCUUGAGGAGCCGAAACCCUGGAAGUCUGUCGUGGGGCGAUAGGGUUGUGUUGCUC